AACUAGAUACUAACUAACCGCCGAAGCAGCAGGGGGAAGACCCCAGAGAGACCAAGAGGAACAGGCAAGUUGAAGCCUAUUCUUGCCUUCUAUCUCGGGAUGACUGGUGCUGCCGUUGCUUGGCGAUCAUAUCGCGCUCCCACCCCCGCAGGGCGUCUUGAGCAAAACCCAACGAAGGAGGUUGAACAUUUACAAAAGACGACCAUCUCAGAGACCCCGUGCGGAGAUCUUGUAUGCAAGUCCGGGCUUAGAUGAGGCAGAGAGACUGAUAGAUAGACAGUUGAUGAGCUGUCUCUGCUCC
rnacentral:sRNA from 1 species